CUCUCCUUGGCUGAACUUUGGUCAGGCUCAUCUAAGCCUUCUUUCCGACUAGGCCUUGACCUUGGCUUCCAAUCCUGUGGACCCUGGAUCACCGAGUUGUAGCAAAGGUCUCGCUACGGCUGUUGAGAGAGAACCCCCAACCCUUCAUACCUGAUUACCGUCGAUACCUGAUCAAAUUCUUCAUUUUCUAUCAUUGGUAUCUGACCACCCUGGCCUGGCUUCAGCAAGAAUCCUAUUAGGCCUGCUUAAUCAGAACCCUCCCACCCGUGAUGUUCCCUAUCAGUAAGUUUCCAUCCACUUGACCUGACGCCCCCUUGGCUUUAAAUCCCCACUUGUCCAUGCUGUAAUUGGAAUUGAGCCCAGCUCUGUAUUGAGGUCUCUUUUCUCUUAUUGCAGUAGUUCCUGACUACAGUGUUUUUGCCACUUCAACUACUGUCUGGCCCUGUUUUUUAUUUGACAACAUUUCCAGCUAAGCAAUCAUGAUGCAUGAGAGUAAUGUUAAUGAUUCCAUCAAUAAAACAAAUGUGUGUACAUAAAUAUACACACAUCUACAGAGACACACAGAACUUGCUGCUCUAUCCAGAUAUUUUAAGAAACAUACUCCUAACCUCAAUGAGCUAGCCAGCUAGGAAUCCAAGGCCAGUUUUUGGAGAGCCUUGAAUGCCAUGGUAAAGAAUUUGGACUAUAUUCUGUCCAAAUUUUUUUGAUUGAAUAAGUACAUCAUAGCAAUAUUUGGAAAUGUAUCAUGGGGAGGAAUACAAAGGAUGGAUUCUACUAAUUAGAAAUUGGAUUCAGAGCAAUCUAUUAGAAGACUACUGCAGUGGUCUAAGAGGCAGAUAAUUAUGACCUGCACAUGGUCAGGACUAGUGGAAAUUAAAAAGAGGUGGCAGAAGAGGCAUUUGUGAUGGAGGAAUUUUAAAAUUUGGUGAAUGGGAAAGAAAAGUCAUGGGUGAAAAACUUCUGCUACUGAAGGUGAAAAUAUUGAGGAGGCACAGAUUUGACGGAAAAAAAUACUUUGAGUUUUGAGAUAUGUAAAGCUUGAGGUACCUGCUGCUGGGCAUUAUAUAUGUACCGCUUUAUUCAGCUUUAUAAAUUAUAGUUAAAUUAUAUUGCUUCAGUGCUCAGAAGAACAUUGUGAAGCUCAAGAGAAAUUCAGAACUGGAGGGAUAUGAUGCUUUAGUGUGAAGACGUGAGAGAGAAGUCUCAUUGCAAUAUAUAAAUACAAGAUACUUCUCGGACCAGAUGCGGUGGCUCACGCCUGUAAUCCCAGCACUUUGGGAGGCCGAGGCAGGCAGAACACGAGGUCAAGAGAUCGAGGCCAUCCUGGCCAACAUGAUGAAACCCCGUCUCUACUAAAAAUACAAAAAUCAGCUGGGUGUGGUGGUGCAUGCCUGUAAUCCCAGGUACUUGGGAGGCUGAGGCAGGAGAAUCGCUUGAACCAGGGAGUUGGAGGUUGCAGUGAGUGAGCCGAGAUCGCACCACUGCACUCCAGCCUGGUGACAAAGCGAGACUCCAUCUAAAAAAAAAAAAAAAAAUUACAAGAUACUUCUCUUGGCUUUGAGAAUCUUGCUAUAUACUUGCAGAGGACACAUAUCAAGCAACAUCCUCAAUGGAUAGAUGAUGUAGAGCAAUAAAAAAAAGACAUCAUCACAAGUGAAAAGCAAUGAGGUAUUGAGUCCAUGUGCGCCAGAGAAAUACAGUAGACAAAAUUCCUCUUAGAAGAUAUCCUGUAGUUAGCCUUUUGAGUAAAGUUAAUAGUGUGCACUAGUAGCACUUGUAUGUCUCUUACAUAUGAAUAGAAAAAGCGAAGUCCCUCUUCUAUAAAGACAUUAUUUCUGCAAUAUGUAGUUUCUGCAAUGAUAAUAACUUCUCUACCCAGCUACUCUACAUGACUGGUAUUAUAAUGUAUGAAUAAUAUUUUAUACUUGUAAAUAAUGCCAAAAGUAACAAAUAAAAUUUUGCCAUGACAAAUAUUUUCCCCAUGUUUCUACACCACACAUGGAGAAGUAGCACAGUGCAGUAGCUGAGCGCCUGGGUUCUGGAAGCAAACUACCUGGCUCAAAUCCUGGUUCUGUGACCUUAUACUAGUUUCUGAACUCUCUGUGAAUCAUUAUCCUCAUUUGAAAAAUAUAGUUACACUAACUACCUCAUAAAAAUAUUAUGUGUGUUAAGUGAAUUAAUACUUACAAAACUCUUAGAACAGUGCCUAGCAUAUAGUAAAUAUUU
rnacentral:lncRNA from 1 species